rnacentral:misc_RNA from 1 species
GGAACUCCUACCAACACGUACCAAGGAAUUACUAUCCCUGCUGCAGUGAAAACUCUGUAGAAUCUUCACUCAACACUCCCCAGAAAUAAAGUGAAGAAAAAAUGCAACAUUCACGUUGGUGAAAGGCGAGGGAUUUAACCAUCAACAUAAUUAUAUUGAGCAACGUAAAAAGAUGUUCUCUCCACUUCACGAACAUCCCUUGGAGCAAGUUAAUCCUUUGGAAGUGUACCAAUUAUAUAGAGGACGGUGGAAGUGCGACCAUUGCAAUUCUGAAAGUGGUGCAAUAGGUACGUAUCCCUUCCAUUGUAGACAGUGUUCUUUUGACCUGUGCUAUUCUUGUAUGCACAUGCAACAUCUGGGAAGCAACUUGAUUCAUCGGCAUCAGCUGCAUUACAUGGAAACCAGCCGUCUGGUUUAUCAAAAUGAAGGAGGAAUUUGGCGGUGUGAUGUUUGCAAAAAGACAAGUGAUGAAUUGAGAGAAACAUUCUCAUACCACUGCCCAACCUGCGGUGACUUUGAUGUUUGUCGUAGCUGUAACGAGCCCAAGAGGCACCCUAUCCAUGUUCACGAACUUAAAGUGGUUGACACAUCACUAAUCUAUCUUCAGUCUGGUGGGAACUGGGUUUGUGACAUCUGUGGGAAUAUGAGCAGGCCAUAUGAAAAGUAAGUGAAACAUUCAGAUUAUUUUGAUAUCCCAUAUCUAGUGUUUCUACCUCAGAAUGAAAAGGAGGAAGGGUGUCGCAUUGAUCUUUUGAGUAAUGAGAAUAGAAUAGAAUAGAAUCUUUAUUUAUACGCGAUAAGAAUUAAAGCUAAAAAGCUUGUGGGGUCGUUUACUUAACAAAAUAGUAUCUAGCCAACUAUUCAUUGUACUAAGACACAUUUCAAACUAAGUAAGAAACUAUAAUACAGUAAAACAUUCAAUUUUCCUCUCAACUUAAAAAUACUUGUUAUCAGUUAUCUAUUCCUAGCCGUCAAACCUGAUAAACUAGUAAAUGUGAAGCUUGUGAAGUGAUUAUUUCUCCUGAGUAGCCUCCUAAGAUUCUUAAGGGCGAAGCUACCUACAUUUUUGACAUGAUGGUUAACUUAGUUCCAUAGUACCUAACCUCUAUAUGCUAAAGAGUCCUUUAACAAUCUAGUGUUGAAUCUAGGUAAUAUGUUUAUUGCUUCUUGGUCUCUUAGUAAAUAGCUACAUUCCUGCCUUAUGAAUAUGCUAUUAAUCAGAGACUGAGGUUGUGAGACUUUACUUGCUCUAUAAAAAAGGUUAACUUUUUGAAAUAUGUAUUCUAAAUUUAUCAUAUCCUAUCCUGAAACAUUGAGAGCUACAUUAGAUUCCGUAUCUUUGGAUAAGUUGUAGACAAUUUUUGCUGCUCUACAGUGAAGUUUCUCAAUUGAGUACAGAAGAUCCGAAUUUGUACACGAACCCCAUAAUAUAAUACCAUACUUCACAGAAGGUAAUAUUACACUAAAAUAAAACUUUAAAAGGACAUUUUUGGGCAAGAACCUUGAGCGCUUC